UUUUGUUCAUUUUGUUAAUUAAUUCCAGUCCAAAAUAAUCCACAACUCCACUGCCUUUAAACACAGACAAACGACCUAACAAGAUGCACCUAAAGGCAACAUUAAUGGUGGCGGAACGUUGAUUCUGGCGACAUCAUGUGGUCAAACGACGGUAAUGGCCGCCCAACCCCUUGGGGUAAUAUCAUAGGCUGUGAGAAGCAGCAGUUGUCCAGUGCUACGCAGUGCCACCACUAAAGACUCAGGAACAUUUGCAGUAACACAGCAGGUGAAAGAGAUUGGGAUUGAAUCUGGAAAGAGGAAGACCGCACCCAGCGCCACAAGGGUGCAAA